AUGGCCGCCGGACACCCUCUGCCUACCGACCUAGCAUUGCUCCACCAGCAACUCCUGCUGAGGCCUCGUGUUCUGGGCGAGCUGCGUGCCCUGACGAGCACCGUCGUGUCCAUUGAUCACAUAGCCUCCAUCCUCGACAAGGCGCUCAGAUCCAGCACUCCAAGACUAGUGCAGGUGGAUCCUCAGGCUCCUGAAAUGCACGCCAAGGCUCUAAGCGCGGUGUCGAGGAACAGAAGAAAGUAUGAUGCCCGGAGGAGCUUCCUUCGCUCAAGGCUUGAGCAACUACUGGACAACUAUGCCUCGCAGCAUUUUUGGGAACCAAGAUAUAGGGUGAACUUCAUCUGUGGCGUGGAGGCACUCGGCGGCGGCACCACGGCAUACGGCAGGCAUUACGCUGUCAAUUUCAUGGCUGCCUCUGAAUCACCGCUUCAGAUCAACACGCUCUUCUUCGCUGAAUUCGGGGAAUCGGAGCCUGGUCAUUGGUUGGGGAACCGUGGUCCGUAUGCUGCUAAGCCAAAGCCAGAUUUCUGCUGCCCUCUGCCCCCUCCGUAUACAGGCAUGUCCUCUCGUUCCAGCAAACUAUGCAAUUCCCCUCAGCUUUUACUGAACUUUUUCGAGCAUGCGCUUCUAAAUUUCGAUCCAUUAAAUUGUACGGUCUCUUUACUGAAUCAACAAUCAUCAAUGACAGUUCUGAUUUUUGGUAACAGGUCGUUUCUACUACGGACGCAUUCUGCGAGGAAGCUCGUGUACCCGAAUCUCGUCGAGUAUCUCAAGGGCGAUAUUACCGUACAUGGCACCGAUAAUGUGGCAGACAUGCUAGAAACAGAUCUUGUCUAUUUCAGUUCCGAGGGAGACGUCGAGUUUGCAGAGAAACUGAACAGCUACUAUCAACCAAACUCUUCAGCGUGGAGCCGGCCAUCAUACUUGACGACGAGGAGAGUGCUCGAAGACCACUUUUCUCCUCCAUCUUGCCAUUCAAACAGCCGGAGCUGA
rnacentral:rRNA from 1 species